rnacentral:lncRNA from 1 species
AAAUUAGGGUUUCCAAAGACUUAAUCCAAGAUAGAUGAACUUCCCAAGUCAAGUGUAGUACAAUGAUACCAUAAGCUUGAUUCACAAGUGCACCAUAGAAAUCCAAGCUCAUGAAUUACCCUCAUUGUCACAAUUCAAAUGCUUUGUAUCUUAAAUAACAAUAACCCUUUGAAUCAAUGAUGCCACUUGCAAAAAUGCAAGUGCAAAUGAAUGAUCUUAUGAUAAAUGAUUAGGGUAAAAAGAUGCAGAUG